GUCGAGGAUCUUUUGCAAUGGGCGAAAGCCUGACAAAGCGACGCUGCGUGGAGGAUGAAGGCCUUCGGGUUGUAAACUCCUGUCAUUCGGGAACAAUGACCUCGCAAUUAACACUUGCGGGGAGUGAUGGUACCGGAAGAGGAAGCCACGGCUAACUCUGUGCCAGCAGCCGCGGUAAUACAGAGGUGGCAAGCGUUGUUCGGAUUUACUGGGCGUAAAGGGCGCGUAGGCGGCCGUGUGUGUCGGAUGUGAAAUCCCACUGCUCAAUGGUGGAACGGCAUACGAAACUACACGGCUGGAGUGCAGGAGGGGAGAGCGGAAUUCUUGGUGUAGCGGUGAAAUGCGUUGAUAUCAAGAAGAACACCGGUGGCGAAGGCGGCUCUCUGGAAUGCAACUGACGCUGAGGCGCGAAAGCCGGGGGAGCAAACAGGAUUAGAAACCCCAGUAGUCC
rnacentral:rRNA from 1 species